GACGGGGUGAGCUCCCGUUGCUCAGUCCCUGCUCCUGCCAACCUAGCAGUUCAAAAGCAUGUCAAAGUGCAAGUAGAUAAAUAGGUACCGCUCCGGCAGGAAGGUAAACGGUGUUUCCGUGCGCUGCUCUGGUUCGCCAGAAGUGGCUUAGUCAUGCUGGCCACAUGACCCGGAAGCUGUAUGCUGGCUCCCUCAGCCAAUAAAGUGAGAUGAGCGCCGCAACCC
rnacentral:lncRNA from 1 species